AACGAACGCUGGCGGCAUGCCUAACACAUGCAAGUCGAACGAGACCUUCGGGUCUAGUGGCGCACGGGUGCGUAACGCGUGGGAACCUGCCCUUAGGUUCGGAAUAACUCCCCGAAAGGGGUGCUAAUACCGGAUAAUGUCUUCGGACCAAAGAUUUAUCGCCUUUGGAUGGGCCCGCGUUGGAUUAGCUAGUUGGUAGGGUAAAAGCCUACCAAGGCGACGAUCCAUAGCUGGUCUGAGAGGAUGAUCAGCCACACUGGGGCUGAGACACGGCCCAGACUCCUACGGGAGGCAGCAGUGGGGAAUAUUGGACAAUGGGCGAAAGCCUGAUCCAGCAAUGCCGGGUGAGUGAUGAAGGCCUUAGGGUUGUAAAGCUCUUUUACCCGGGAUGAUAAUGACAGUACCGGGAGAAUAAGCUCCGGCUAACUCCGUG
rnacentral:rRNA from 1 species